CCUACGGGUGGCAGCAGUGAGGAAUAUUGGUCAAUGGCCGGAAGGCUGAACCAGCCAUGCCGCGUGAAGGUCAGUGCCCUAUGGGCGUUAAACUUCUUUUGUGCGGGAGCAAUAAUGGUCACGUGUGGCCAGACGAGAGUACCGUACGAAUAAGCAUCGGCUAACUCCGUGCCAGCAGCCGCGGUAAGACGGGGGAUGCAAGCGUUUUCCGGAUUUAUUGGGUUUAAAGGGUGGGUAGGAUGGGAGGUAAGUCAGCGGUGAAAUGCCCCCGGUCAACGGGGUGAAGUGCAAUUGAUACUGGCUGGCUGGAAUGCGGAUGCCGUAGGAGGAAUGUGUGGUGUAGCGGUGAAAUGCAUAGAUAUCACACAGAACACCGAUUGCGAAGGCAUCUCACGAAUCCGCGAUUGACGCUGAUGCACGAAAGCGUGGGUAUCAAACAGGAUUAGAUACCCCAGUAGUC
rnacentral:rRNA from 1 species